GCAACUCAUUGUGCUUUGGUACUGGACUAACUAAAUUUUUAAUUCAGUGACGAAAGAUUUUUGGGCACAGUCAAGUACUAGCAAAGUCAGAGUGUGAUCGAGAUGGGAUUGACCACUCCAAGAGUUGGAGAAGAAUGAGUCACUGUAUUUCAAUUUAGCAAAAUCUUGGUCAGGAUAAUCCAUCAGAUGGAUUUGAUAUUU
rnacentral:lncRNA from 1 species